rfam:Triticum aestivum genome assembly, contig: Triticum_aestivum_CS42_TGACv1_scaffold_328448_4BS
AUCCUACUCCCUCCGUCUGGAAAUACUCAUCGGAGGAAUGGAUGUAUCUAGACGUAUUUUAGAUCUAGACACAUCCAUUUUUAUCAAUUUCUCCGACAAUUAUUUUUAGACGGGGGAGUAUAAU